rnacentral:rRNA from 1 species
CGCGGGUCCGCCGGAGGCAGCAGCAGAGAUAAGCUUUGUUGCUUCGCCGUCGUCCCUGUCUCUGGCUUCGGCAAUUGAAUAGAGGUGGCGGUUGCACUCGUCUCCAAAUAAGCAGGAGUCAACUCACCGUUCAUCGAACGUUCAGAGUUUUCUUUGAAGGGGAACAGCCCUCGGAGCUCCCCAGGCCGCAUUCAUGGGUUCGCCGCUGGGGGAAGAGGAGGAGGAACGGAUCCUGCUAGCGCGCGCGACGCCGCCGGAGAACUUUGAUGAAUACACAGGCGAUGGCUCAGUUGAUUUCAGAGGUCACCCUAUUUUAAAGCACAAUACAGGAAACUGGAGAGCAUGCUCAUUGAUUCUUGGGACUGAAGUGUGCGAACGCUUAGCCUACUAUGGGAUUUCCAAAAGUUUGGUCACUUAUCUUUCAACUAGACUGCAUGAAGGCAAUGUGUCUGCAGCUAGAAACUUCACAACCUGGCAAGGAACUUGUUAUCUCACACCACUUAUUGGAGCAACCUUAGCAGAUUCUUACUGGGGAAAGUAUCGGACUAUUGCUGUUUUCUCAACUAUUUACUUUCUUGGGAUGUCAGCAUUGACGCUUUCAGCAUCGGUUCCUUAUCUCCAGCCCCCUCAAUACCAAUUUGAUGAUACCGAUCCAAUUGAGCGAACAAAGAAAGGCGCUUUCUUCAAUUGGUUCUAUUUCUCCAUAAAUAUCGGUUCAUUGAUCUCUGGCACUGUUCUUAUUUGGGUACAAGAAAAAUAUGGAUAUGGUAUUGGAUUUGCAAUCCCUACCUUUUUCAUUGCCCUGGCUAUUGGAAGCUUUUUUCUAGGCUCAGAGGUAUACAGAUUUCAGAUACCUGGAGGAAGCCCUCUUACAAGAGCAUGCCAGGUAGUUGUUGCAGCCAUUUACAAGCGAAAUGUGGACUUGCCAGUUGAUAGUUCUCUUCUCUAUGAGUGUCAUGGUAAGAGAUCAGCUAUCGAGGGGAGCCGCAAACUGGAGCACAGCAGUGAAUUCAGGUACUUUUCUUGGUUAUCAUCAGGAAUCAUUUGCUGUAUAAGAUGCUUUUACCUUGCCAAAUUAAUUAGUUGCAAAACCGUUCACAUGCUGUUCCAUGUUGGUAUUAAUUAAUUAAUUUGGUGGAGUUCAGAUUGCUGUUCUGGAAGAAAUAAAAACAUAUUUUUAAAGUUCAAGAACUAAAAGAAAAUAGUUUACAAUUUAACAAAGCUGACACGGAUUUGCAAAGUAUGCUACUCUUUUGGUCUGACAUUCACAUGCUUGCAAAGCUUGUGUCUUCAGGCUUCCUGGACACAGCAAUCCCUUUUCAGAACUGUAACAGGUAAACCUUGCACAAGAUGUAAGUAGCAUAAGAUUUGCAUACCCACUGACCCGAUGCAUAUUUUUUCUCUACAGUUUCCUUGACAAAUCAGCAGUCAUUUUGCGGAGUGAAUGUGGCGAUAUUCAUAAUCCUUGGAGGCUUUGCACUGUUACACAGAUUGAAGAGCUCAAAAUAUUAAUGAGGAUGUUUCCAAUCUGGGCAACGGGCAUCGUGUUCUUCACUGUCUGCGCUCAGAAUUCAUCAAUGUUCAUAGAGCAAGGGAUGGCACUCAACAACCAAGUUGGAUCUUUCAAGAUCCCACCAGCCACCCUGUCGUCCUUGGACGUAAUCAGCAUCGUCGUUUGGGUCCCUAUCUAUGAGAGAUUCAUCGUGCCGAUAGCCAGGAGAUUGACUGGUAAGGAGAGGGGCUUCUCGGAGCUCCAGCGCAUGGGGAUCGGUCUUUUUGUGUCCACCAUCGCAGUGGCAGUCGCAGCAUUGGUCGAGAUCAAGCGCCUGGAGAGCGCAAGAUCCGAGGGCCUGGUCCAUCAGAAGGUGCCUGUUUCCAUGAGCAUUCUCUGGCAGGCGCCUCAGUACCUGCUGAUCGGGGUCGGUGAGGUGUUCACGUCCAUCGGGCAGGCUGAGUUCUUCUACAACCAGUCUCCGGAUUCCAUGAGAAGCCUGUGCUCGGCUUUCGCCCUUGUCACCGUGUCGCUUGGAAGCUAUCUUAGCUCGUUCAUACUGACCCUGGUGUCGUAUCUUACGACGCGUGGGGAGCAGAUGGGGUGGAUUCCUGACAACCUGAAUGAAGGCCACCUUGACCGCUUCUUCUGGCUCAUUGCUGGCCUCAGCUCCCUGAAUUUUCUCGCUUUUGUUUAUUUUGCACAGCAGUACAAGUGCAAGAAAGCUUCUGUACUUUGAUGUUUCCGCCUUUGCCUUGUAUUGUACAGAAAGUUGUGUGGAUAUUUCUCUCAUGAACAAGCUAACAAUGUACAGGCUACAAUGUAUAGUCUUCUGUAAUGUACAGUCUUGUAUCCUUUGAUAGUUGUAUACAUUUGUUUACUUGGAGAGUGGGAAUAGUGUGCCUUUUCCCCUUGUUAAUGAAGCUUAUAACCAUGUAGCUU